UUGCUGGGCGGAUUAGUGGCGAACGGGUGAGUAAUACGUGAGUAACCUGCCCUUGACUCUGGGAUAAGCCUGGGAAACUGGGUCUAAUACUGGAUACUACCUCUUACCGCAUGGUGGGUGGUGGAAAGGGUUUUACUGGUUUUGGAUGGGCUCACGGCCUAUCAGCUUGUUGGUGGGGUAAUGGCUCACCAAGGCGACGACGGGUAGCCGGCCUGAGAGGGUGACCGGCCACACUGGGACUGAGACACGGCCCAGACUCCUACGGGAGGCAGCAGUGGGGAAUAUUGCACAAUGGGCGGAAGCCUGAUGCAGCGACGCCGCGUGAGGGAUGACGGCCUUCGGGUUGUAAACCUCUUUCAGUAGGGAAGAAGCGAGAGUGACGGUACCUGCAGAAGAAGCGCCGGCUAACUACGUGCCAGCAGCCGCGGUAAUACGUAGGGCGCAAGCGUUGUCCGGGAAUUAUUGGGCGUAAAGAGCUCGUAGGCGGUUUGUCGCGUCUGCUGUGAAAGCCCGGGGCUCAACCCCGGGUCUGCAGUGGGUACGGGCAGACUAGAGUGCAGUAGGGGAGACUGGAAUUCCUGGUGUAGCGGUGAAAUGCGCAGAUAUCAGGAGGAACACCGAUGGCGAAGGCAGGUCUCUGGGCUGUUACUGACGCUGAGGAGCGAAAGCAUGGGGAGCGAACAGGAUUAGAUACCCUGGUAGUCCAUGCCGUAAACGUUGGGCACUAGGUGUGGGGGACAUUCCACGUUUUCCGCGCCGUAGCUAACGCAUUAAGUGCCCCGCCUGGGGAGUACGGCCGCAAGGCUAAAACUCAAAGGAAUUGACGGGGGCCCGCACAAGCGGCGGAGCAUGCGGAUUAAUUCGAUGCAACGCGAAGAACCUUACCAAGGCUUGACAUUCACCGGACCGCCCCAGAGAUGGGGUUUCCCUUCGGGGCUGGUGGACAGGUGGUGCAUGGUUGUCGUCAGCUCGUGUCGUGAGAUGUUGGGUUAAGUCCCGCAACGAGCGCAACCCUCGUUCUAUGUUGCCAGCACGUGAUGGUGGGGACUCAUAGGAGACUGCCGGGGUCAACUCGGAGGAAGGUGGGGAUGACGUCAAAUCAUCAUGCCCCUUAUGUCUUGGGCUUCACGCAUGCUACAAUGGCCGGUACAAAGGGUUGCGAUACUGUGAGGUGGAGCUAAUCCCAAAAAGCCGGUCUCAGUUCGGAUUGAGGUCUGCAACUCGACCUCAUGAAGUCGGAGUCGCUAGUAAUCGCAGAUCAGCAACGCUGCGGUGAAUACGUUCCCGGGCCUUGUACACACCGCCCUUCAAGUCACGAAAGUUGGUAACACCCGAAGCCGGUGGC
rnacentral:rRNA from 1 species